CCAUACGGCUCCAGGGGGUUAAUACAGGCCUUCUGAAGCAAAGUGAUGCGCUAUCCUCUGCGCUUCCGAGUUCGUCAGUAUGAAUUUACUCGCGUACGGAAGCCAGUGAUUCUAGUUUAUGAAGUUAAAAAAUAUUUCUUACAAAAAUGCAUCACUUCACUACAGAAGGCCUGAAUUAACCCCCUGGAGCCGUAUGGAUUACUUGUAUGAUGGAUGGAUCUGUUUUUUUGGGCUUCAAAAUCUCAGUUACUAUUCACUCCCAUUAUAAAGCUUGGAAGAGCCAGAAUAUUUUUUUAAUAUAACUCAGAUUGUGUUUGACUUAAAGAAGAAAGUCAUAUAUACUUAGGAUGGAUUGAGCGUGAGUAAAUUAUGGGAUAAUUUUCAUUUUUGGGUGAACUAACCCUUUAAAACAUUCUCAAAAAGUUUUUUCUUUUUCUUUUUACUUGUGGGGUGUGGAUUAGAUUGCUUUGUGGCCAGUAGUUAUUCUUUUGAUAUAUAUAUAUAUUUUUUUCUUUUUGAUGGGAAUGUUUUAGCGUUAAUGUAGGAAAAGUGCACUUUGGCUGAACUGAUAUGCAUGCUCUGAGUGUGUGUCAUUCCAGAUCUGUGCAGUUUACUGAAAUUCUGACUCUGAGCAUUGAAGAAAUUAUGAGUGAUAUGGAUUUUAUAAACUUCUAUAACUCACUCUCUGACUCUUUCACUUUAAUGGUGAUGACAUUUGAGAGAAUAAUGGAGAUGGUGAGCAAGAGAUCUUUUAGUAUCCUGCUUUUAUGAAUCUGGAUGUCUGCCACUGGAAAAUGUGGCUCUUGUUUAGAAAGAUUCAGUUACUAAAACAUUUGAGCUUGUCUGUGUUGAAAUCCACUAUGUAUUUGGAUAAACUUCCCAAAUACAAAGAGAGCCAGUAUAUGAGCUGAAUGAAGUAGCUGUGGCUACUGAAUUACAUUAAGGACACUAUUUCCUUGUCUUGUUUUAUUCCUCUUCCUGUUUGAGCCAGAGAACACCUACAGUGAGCAAAUGUUUGACUUUUAAGAUGUUGAAUAAUUCUUUCUAGUUACUCAGAAACAAGAAUUUAUAAUAUUGAUUACAGUGCCAAAUUUAUGUUAUGAUGAAUCUAAAAAGUUGGCUAUGAAACAGAUUGGAAGUUAUUUUUCUUUUUAAGUGAAUGCUAUGUAGGUCUAAUGUGAGUCUAGGAAAAUUGCUCACAUGCUUCAGAACAUUAAGGAGAAAGUGAGUGACUUUUGUGUAAUUUUAAUAGAUGUGAAAAUGUAAAUGUGAAAGGGAAGAUUUCAGAUUGAUGUUGAUGCGAAGUCUUGAAUGGAUGAUAAAAGAUUCAUAUCAAAUUUAUAGAUUAGUGAAUUUUACAUAGAUGCGAGAAUAGCAAUAGUCAGUUUUAAGUGUAUCUUGUGCUUAUGAGCCAUCCAGACUUUAAUUUAGCCUGCUGAUUAAUCUAAAUCCAAAAUAAAAUAUCAACAUUUAUGACACCAAGGAUGAAGGCAUACUUUUUCCUCAGGCAAUAUCAUCAAAGCUACUCAAACAGAGCCUCGAGGCCCCUUCUGAGAAAGCACAGAUUUCUUUCCAUAACUAACUACUGGAUAGAACAUGAGAUGGGUGUCUGUCAGGGAUCAUUUCAUGCUGCCUUAAAUUUUUUUGUAUGCUGUAAUAAUGUCACAGUCAGUGAAUGCUAGACUGUGGAAAAGUGCCAAAAUUGUUUUGAAGCCUUCUUUUUUCACCCCACCAGCAACCCUGGAGAAAUACUUAACACAGCAGGGAAGCCAUACGUUGAAAUGCAUGUAAAUGCCUUUAGAUGUGUCCAGAAACAUUAAAAUGUGUUCCAGUUAGAUGCCAGAGAUCAUAUGAACAGUAAAGCACAGUGCUGGAGUUUGGAUGGCUUUUGUGUUUGUGUAGCGAGUAAUGGGCCUCCCAAGAGAAAACACUGCAGGGUGUAACCACAGAUAGACAUGGGAGUGAAACACUCUUUGGGCCUUAAUCACUCCAGAAAGGUUGUAGAACUAAAUAGCCGCUUGAGUGGUGAGCGAGAUUUUGAGUUGGUGAGUAGUAGAUAUCGAAAUUCUGAUCAGGAAUGGAGAAAACGCUUGCAAACGUCCUUGUCUUCUACAUUCAUAUUUCUGAAGAUCCCUUUAUAACCCUCUUUAAAAAUAUAUUGGCUGAAUCUGCUGCUUUAUUGGUUUCAAUAUUGCAAUAAAGAAGUCAUACAUAUCACAUAUAUCUCAUAUCAUGCACAUGACCUUUGAAGGAAAAGAGCAAGAACUCACCUGACAAUACAGUCAUUUAAUGAGGAAGUGUGAACUUCAAGAGCAGUGAGGCCAUAGGUUGACAUGAAUCAUGUAUAGAUAUUAAGAUAUAUGGGUUAUGGUUCACAGACUGAAUAGGUGGCUUUGCUAAGGAGUAAAACAAUCAAGAAAGAUGUAUUGUGGAGAUUUGUCAGCUUUUUUGUACUGCAUUGGGCUUUACAGGAUCAGAGGUAUAGAUAAUUUGUUAAUCCAAAAGCUGAGUAAACAGACAACAGAACUGAGUUUCAUGUGGAAUCUACUGUUUGUAGUGAAGUCACGGUAAACAUGGCAAAGGAGUAUAAUGCGUAUGGUAAAAUGGUCAAAAAGUUUGCAGAAGUAGUGUUUACAGUACAUUUUUGGUACGUAAGUGCAUUAAAGUGGGAAAAGUGCAGGGUUUACAGAAUGAAAGCAGUGAGGGGAAUGAUGUGAAUUCUGAUGAAAUGUCUUUGAAUGUUUAAAUGCAGAUUGUAUGUACAAUGCUUGUUUUUAAAACAUGCUUUGCCAAUGAAUUUUUUUGUUACUGAAAAUAUGGAUUUAUUUUCAACAGUGAAAAUUCCCUCCAAAGAAUUAAAAAAGUUUAAUAGAUAUUCUUUGGUAAUUAUGGAUGCAAAUGCAGAUCUAUAAUGAAAAUCUAAACUCCACUUUGAAUUUGAUGACAGGAGAUUAAAAUGAAUAUAUGAAUUAAUUGCAGAUAAAUAAUAAUUGAAUUAUACAUCAGAGGUGUGGUGCUGGUAUUACCAUUAUUUUGCUCCAUUUUAAGACAAUCAUUUGUUCUUGUAUAACCUUCCUCAUUUCCCUAGUCUUCUUAUGCCUGAGGCAGAGAUGUGAUUGGGUGAAACUUAACAUAAGAUAAUUCUUUGUGAAGCUCUGCCUUAAAGUCCACAUAAUAUGUGGCAGGAAAAACAAACUAAACUUGAAUUUGAACGUUACAAAGUUGAAAAAAUUAUCUUAAAUCUAGCAUUGAGUGCGAGGAUGAGUGUUUUAUGUAUUAGUUAGAAUGAGUAGAAAGAUGUUGUAGAUGUUUUUUGUAAAAUGUCCUUUGAGCAGUUGAUCGUCCACUAAGGAUCAUGGGAGACUGUGACUUAAGAGCUCUGGAUGGAAUGAAUAAUUUUCAUGUUUCUCACAAUAAAAUGUUAAUGUCUGUCUCAUGACCUUGCGUCUUUAUUUCAUGGGCUCUCAUUAAAAUGAGAAAGAAUCAAAUGCUCCAAUAAUGUAAGUGAAAUUUGUAACUUAGGAACCCCCUUGAAGAAAGUGUUACUGUCCAUUAGAUGGCAGCACUACCCUUCAGCCUGUUAAGUGUAUUGCAGCUUUUAGUGUGUAAGGUGGAAUCAGAUAUCAUUACUGAGGCAUAAGAAAGUUUGCAUCUGGAUUUAUGCACAUCAUACCUGUAAAAAAGUAAAUUAAUAAGAAACAUAUAUUAGAGCUGUUCUUUUGAAGAUUUUGGCUUUUGUUUUAUUUGUAAAUUUAUAGACAGAAUAGUAUGAAUUUUAAUAUCGGCCAUUUGCUGGCAGUAACAUGAAUAUAUAAAAAAUCUAUACUAAUGUUCAAAAGUUUCGGGUCAGUAAGAUUUUACCUUUUUUUUUUUUUUAAAUAAAUACUUUUAUUUAGCAAGGAUGCAUUAAAUUGAACAAAGUUGACAGUAAAUACUUGUUACAAAAAAUUAUAAUUGAAAUAAAUGCUGUAAUUUUUUAACUUUCUAUUUAUCAAAGAAUCCUGAAGAAAUUUUUUUUUAUCACAGUUUCCACUAAAAUAUUCAGUGGCACAACUGUUUUGAACAUUUAUAAUAAUUAGAAAUGUUUCUUGAGCACCAAAUCAGCAUAUUAGAAUGAUUUCUGAAGGAUCAUGUGACACCAAAGACUGGAGUAAUGAUGCUGGAAAUUCAGCGUUGCAUUCACAGGAAUAAUUACUGUUAUUUUAAAUGUUAAUAAUAUUUCACAAAAUUAUUGUUUCUACUGUAUUGUGAUCAAAUAAACAGCCUAAAACAUUUCAAAUAUAUAUUAACAACCUUGAACUUUUGAACAGUAGACUCCAAGGACCCCCACAGUACAUCUGUAUUGUCAGUUUCCUGCAGUUCUCUAUAGCUCCACAUCCUUGCCAGUUUAAAGGUUCAGAAAUUUACUGCAGUUUAAUAAAAGAGGCCUUGUACAGGGCUCUCAUUGAGGUAGGCAGUUUCCCAACAUUGUCAACUGAAUGAAUUACAAAAGAGGAGCGGUUUUAAUGAGGGGGUGUUAAUUAGUGCAGGACUCUCAAAGGGCUUGUUCACAUACAGGCAAAGUGAAAGAUAUGUGGUGCUGAAAGCGAAUGUUGACCUGCGUUGCAGUCUUUCCCUCUUGAAUUUGCAGAAUACCAUGCAUGGCUGCACAAUUUUGUUUCAGAAUAUGUAUGGCAGAAUGACAAAGGAAUCCAGAGGAUGUUAUGGUUCAGGAUCACUGCCUUCUGGAUACCCAAGCGUUUAUCUCCAUACUGAAGAUAUGCACAUGCAUCUACACAGCACCUGUGACUUUUUGCAAAAUUAGCAUGUUCCCUUGAGUUCUGCACGCAAGCCAACAUGCUUACGCCAACGUACUGCUCUAUCCUCGGGAAUUAAAGCCUAUUUCCUGUCAACAAGCUUUUCCUAUGUAAACACACAGCAGGAAAAAAGCUGUACAACACUUGGCUGUAUUUAGCUGAAUGGAUUUUGAGAGAGGGGAUAUCCAAUUUUAAAAUCAUACCAUAGUGUAGCAUUUCUCAAUCCUGUUCCUGGAGUCCAAACCCAUACGUUUUUAGGCAAGCAUAGAUAUUUCUACAGCGCUUACUUAUGGUUAGAGAUUUCAAUAAACCACCAAAACUUUAGUAUUAUCUUCAGCACAUUCAUAUCGCACCAUUUCUGACACAGAUAUGAAUGAUACCUAGAGAGGUGAACUAUUUGUUUUGCAUAGUUUAAUUUUAUUUAUUUUAUCUCAUUAAUAUAGGAAAAAAUAUAAAAUAUGAUAACAUAUAAUUAAAUAUGAUAAUAUAUAAUUUAUAAUUUCAUGAUACUUUAUUGAGCUUUUGGGUCUGUGUACGUUUUGAAUAUAUAUAUAUAUAUAUAUAUAUAUAUAUAUAUGAUUAAUCUUAAAAGAUUGUGAUCUCAAUCAAAUGCGCGAUUAAUCGUUAAAAGAUUGCAAUUUCGAUCAAACUCCCAUGCAAACUUAUUCAUAAAUGACAACUAUUUGGCUGUCUAUUAAAAAUUUGACAAGUACGAUCACAGCGGAACAUUUAAACCUCUGUUCGCGCUGCCGCUAACCUAGAGAGAGCAGUUGUCAUGUAUAGGAUACACCUGUAGGUGGUGACAAAUGGCUGUUAAAAAUGUAUUAGUCAUUGAAUCAUUCAUUCCAGAGAUUUGCUCAAAAAAGCUGAUUCAUCCAGUAAUGAAACAAGUGGAAUUUUUAUGAGCAAGUCAUUGAAUCAUUCACUCAAACUGAUUUUUUAAAAAUAAUUCAGAUAAUUUUGUUUAAAAAUAGACUUCAGCAAUUAACAUUUUAUCUGAAUGUUGUUUAGUUGUCUAUUCAAAAUCACGGGAGAGUCGUGAUCUCGUAUUUCAAACCCAAAAAUAAAUAAAUAAAUAAAAUAAAAUCCUGAUUCUCAAUUUAUCCAGAAUAUGCAGCUCUAAUAGCUUAUGUGAUUGUCAUAUGGACCACUUUUAUGAAACUUUAUGGUGCUUUUGUGUCUUUUCUUCAGACAAAGUAGUUUUGCUACUUAGUUUUGCAUGUAUUAUAUUAUAAAAUGCAGAAAGAAAUAAAGAGUACAGAAAAAAUGUGUAUUAAAAAAAUAUAAUUAUACUUUUAAAGAACACUACAGAACAAACAACCCAUUAUCAUAGUACUUUUAGUGCUUUUUUUUUGUUAGAACCACUUGUACUGCCUACCCUGAGAGACCUAUUGCCUAUCUUACAACUUAGAACUGGACCCAAGCAUGAAUGAAAUAUUGGGGCUUCAUGCCUUAUCACACUUGACUGAACAGCAAAAAUGUAAAACAUAGCCUUUGGUUAUAGUGGAUGGAAUCGUAAACUGCUGGGACUAGAGCACAGGUCUCAGGCAGCCAGAAGUGCGGAUUUACUUUGCUGCUGUAUUACCCUGGCCAUUCCUUACUAAUGCCAGCUAUUUUCACUGUGCUGACGAUUUUGAAUAGGUUAAAAAUAGAGCAGACAGCCUCUGUCUCUUCCUUUGACUCUCUCACUUUCUCACUCAGACGUAGCCUGACCAUACAAACCCAGAGGAAUACUAUAUUCCCCAUGAGAUAAAAACAGGAACCUACUGGGGGAAAAGCUCUUUACUGAACAUUGCUCCUUAUCUGAAACAAACAUACACACGUAUGUGCUGUACUGUGACGAUCAAUAAGACGGAUAAAUGAUAACUCAGUGUGUUGAAGCUGACUCAUGCGGUCUCAUUGUGUUCUCUCUUACCACUUGGAGGUCAGGAUAUCACUGAUGGGAAUCUGUGUGAGACCCAAACAUCAAUGGUUGUUGUGAUUACAGGCCACAGGGAAAGAUGGCCAUACCCACAUGGUCAGGAGUCUUAUGCGUUAUAGUGCACUGCGUUCGAAGAUGGCUGAUUGUUAUCAACGUUGCUGUCUCCAGAUCUCAGGUAUAGCCUACAUUUAUCUAACUGUCCAUCAGUUCCCAGUCCUGACAUUCUUUCCUAUUUCUGGUAAGAAGUUCCAGUAAGUGAUCUGGACUGUGCGUUUUAAGUUUAAAGGGAUAUUUUAUCCAAUAAUGAAUAUUGGCAUUCUGUCAUAUGACUUUCUUUCUGCAAUGGAGCACAAAAAAUUCAGAAGACAUGGAUUGGUCAUUAUUACAUAGAAUUAAAACAAAUUGGGACUGUUGCUUUCAAGCCCAAAAAAAGAUGCAAGAAGAGCUCCAUAAAAGUAUCAUAAAAUGGUCCAUAUGACUCAAGUCUUUUAAAGCCUUUAAAAAGUGAGAAAUUUAAGUCAUAAUUCACUGAUGUUCCCCUUCAGUGAGCUGUUAACUUCUGUAAUUGGGGAGGAAAAAAACAAAAAAACAUUACCAAUAUAAUUCUUCUAAAUUUCUCCUUAGGCAUUGUUGUUGAGGUUUAUUCUUCAUUGGAUGAUUCUUGUCAAAACAAACAUUUAUUUUUACAUUGGUUUUUAUGCAAGUGGUAAUUUUUGAUUUUCAAAAAUGCUGCAUAUGCCUGGGUUUUUGCUCAGUAUGGCUGUGGAAAGGCACAGCAGUGACUUUGUCACCAUAGUAACACAAUAACAAACCGAACUCUGUUCUUCAGUAUAUUGUUCCUGCGGAGUCUCUUUACACAAACAGCAUUCUGGGUCUUCUCUUGGCAGACAGAAGAAUGGGAGCUGGAAUGUAAACAGGAGACAGAUUUGUGAAUACGCAGCAUGUCAUCUUUAUUUAGCAGCCUACCGGUGACAUGAUUAUUUUUCUACAUUUCCCAGUAAUAACCCUCCUGGUUACAAACUGGACAUCUAGCUGAGUAUUGUUAUUGCAGGCUGAAGACUCUGUAGGACAUCUGGGGGAAUGAGCCAGGGUACAACAAAUACAACAAUGAGAUUGGUUGGAGUUUCUAGUUUAAAAACCAGAAAUGUCAGGGGUGUCCAAACUUUUUUCAAAGGGGGCCAGAUUCAAUGUUGUGGACACACCUGUGGGUCAGACCGUAUGGUUUCUGUGGUAUCUAGAAUGGCUUUAUCAUUGUCCUGCGUUCUCAUUGGUUUGCUGGCCUAUGGCGUAUUUCAUGGGCAGGAUAAGCUGUGAGCCGAUCGUUCGCCCAAGAGGAAAAAUUAGCUGUUGCUGCCAGAUCUCAAUCAAUAAAAAUCACAUUGUAUUUGAUACAAAACCUACUAGACUAAAUCAAAUGGGGGAAAAAUCAUGACUAAAACUAUUUUUAUAGUAUUUCAUUUUCUCCAUAGGGAAAUUAAUUUUUUACGGAAACUUAUAAAUUGUUUAAGACAGUCCUACUGUAACUAUCAGAGGAUGUUAAUCGAUAGUCUGUGCGUUUGUUAAAGUCAUCAGUUUGCAUAAUUUCAACUUAUUUUUUUUAAAGAAUACUGAUAUUUUUAUUUAUUAUAGCCUACUUAUUAUUAUUACAUUUUAUUUUUUAUUUUUAAUAGGCUGCUAAUACUAAUUAUAUUAUACUUAUUUUUAAUUAUUAAUUUAAAAAGUAUUUCUGGCAUACAUUUAAAUUGACGCCAUGAUGAUUCUUAUUUGUAGUGUUUGAUUUAGAUCUGUGUCCUAAACUGAUACGUUUAAAGGUGAAGCAUGUCAUUUCUGUGACACUAGCGGCACCUAGCGGAAUUCAAAAAUACAGCAUAUUUUGCAAACGCACCUUUCGCAUGUCGCGCCUCCGUCAACUUAAACAUCACAAAAGCUCUUACGGUUACUUGUGAAGGCACAUCUCAACAGGUAAAUGUAGACUACUCUCAAUAAAAGGUCCAACAUAUUAAAAAUACUUUUCACUGUGUUGCUAUGUGUCAUGAGUAAGUAACUGAGUAAACUAACACUGUCGAGCGUCUCGCUUAUUAGCUAUAAACCCAUUCAAGGAAUCUGCAUCGGCCACAUGUUUUUUUUUUUUACGUGACGCACCACCCAGCAUACCCGGUUAAAAAAGUCACUGCUCAACACUGGUAUACAUUAGUAAUAUAAUAAAAUUAGAUAUGAAUAUCCAACAUUUAUGCCACAAUACCAUGGUUACAGUUAGUGUUAGUACAGAAAAUCCAUGGUAAAUGUUGGUGAUUCGUGGAUUGAAAAGCCUUCUAACUGGCUUGUUGUGGCACAAUGUUUCUGCGUCAGGGUUGUUGAGAAUGCUGGCGCGAUUUCAUCUGGCUUUUAAACUAGAGAGACAUUUGAGGUUUGUAUUGGAGACCUUUGUGCCGAACUCUUCUGGAUAGCGCUGUUUCGUGCCGCUUUUGGUGCGUUUAAUAUUUCUCAUACGUUUCUCAAAAACAUAAAUGGCAGUGCUAUCGGUUAUCAAGGUUUACUGCUACACCUGGCCUAAAAUCUAUUGCUGUCGCCUUGUGAAACUGCAUAAUUUGUAAAUUAUGCGUGGCGGGUCACAUAUAAUUUAUUUUAAUAGACAAGCUGCGUAUCGUUUGAAAUUCAUCCCACGGGCCGGAUUUUGCCACCCCUGGAAUAAGUGCUUUUUUUUUUUUUUCCUAUAACAGCAUUUAAAUGAUCUACUGUGUAAUCAUAUUAUAAUGUUCUCUUAAUAAGAUUUAUAUGCCUCUGAUGCAUACAAGAGUCUUAGGUUAAUAAAAAAUAGCAGGAAAUAAUGGCAGAUACAAAGACUCUUUUCAUUUAAAUUCAAACCAUUAUUUUAUUUUAUUUCUGUAUUUUAGGAUUCACUUGGCAGUUGUAGUAAUUAUCUAUUCUUAUUUCUCAUGUGCUUGGACACCCCGUUGAUUACUGCUUUUGGCUAUGUUUAACAAUUAAUGGUAACUAUAGUGUUCUUUGAGCACCUGUAUAGCUUUUCAAGAUGAUGUCUGCUGUUUUUUAAUUAAUAUUAGUAUUUAUGUCAUGUUCUAGUAAAUAUUUCAAAUAAAACCCAUUCCUAAUUG